GGAUCUAUAGUUAAAUGGAUAUAACAGACCCCUCCUAAGGGUCAGUUCUGGGUUCGAUUCCCGGUAGGUCUACCA
rnacentral:tRNA from 1 species